AUUCGCAGCUGGACACAUCAUUCUACACUGUAUGCAAACAUGCAACAUCAUUUCAUUACACACAGUACAAGGAGUCAGACUGGCAUAUGAGGAGCAAAGGAACCCAGACAGUAGCAUCGUUUCACAAUGUUUCCAUCACCAUCAUCAGUGGAUGCCUUUGCCGUCCGUAGCCUGAGAUUUCAGAUUUGCAGCAAAAAACUUGAUUUUCCCAUUUAUUGGAAUGCUUUGCAGCUAUUUAAGUAUUUUAGUAAGUGUGUUAAAUAAAGUAGUAUUUACUUUUACAAAAAAUUAAUUGUUUGUUUAUAUUUUUAAAGGUUGUACCUUGCAGCCAUCCAUUACAAUGUCACCAAGCCGUAACAAAAGCAGGAGAGGGAAAGUACAAGGCUAUGUUCCCAAAACACACAAGUGACAUACCUUAUGUGGAUGAUGUGAUCAGGCUUGUGUUUGAUGAGGUAUAUGAAGAUAAGCUGAAGGAAACCCCGAUUCCAAUGGACCUGGCAUCACAGUUUGAAAGACCUUCAA